GACGAACGCUGGCGGCGUGCUUAACACAUGCAAGUCGAACGGAAAGGCCCCUUUGGGGGUCCUCGAGUGGCGAACGGGUGCGUAACACGUGAGUAACCUGCCCUUGACUUCGGGAUAACUUCAGGAAACUGGGGCUAAUACCGGAUAGGAAUCCUUGCUGCAUGGUGGGGGUUGGAAAGCUUCGGCGGUUUUGGAUGGACUCGCGGCUUAUCAGCUUGUUGGUGGGGUAGUGGCUUACCAAGGCUUUGACGGGUAGCCGGCCUGAGAGGGCGACCGGCCACAUUGGGACUGAGAUACGGCCCAGACUCCUACGGGAGGCAGCAGUGGGGAAUAUUGCACAAUGGGCGGAAGCCUGAUGCAGCAACGCCGCGUGCGGGAGGACGGCCUUCGGGUUGUAAACCGCUUUCAGCAGGGGCGAAGCUUGUGGUGACGGUACCUGCAGAAGAAGCACCGGCUAACUACGUG
rnacentral:rRNA from 1 species